rnacentral:lncRNA from 10 species
AACAAAAGAUGAUAAUUUCGUAAUAAAUACUAUUUUAUGAACAGUGUAAAUGAUCUGAUUUCUAAAUCACAAAUGUUUAAGAUUUCUUUUUUUAUUUUGUCUCAGACUUUCACUUUGUCCCUGAACAAAAAAAAAAUUGACAAUUUAAAAAUUUAUAAGACUAGAUUGGUUAAGUUGAAAGUAUUCUCUUAGAGUAGGAUGCGAGCUAUAUUUUAUUUGAAUUAUCAGGUACUAUCAGCAAUGUAGACAUUUGGAGAAAGAAGUGCAUAUCAGAAAAUUGACAGCUUUGUGGAUGGCUUGAAAGAACAGUAAGGGUUGAAACUGAAGGCCGAUUGUGAAUACUAUCCACCGGGAGCUUCUUAUGAAUUGACUCAUGUUCCUCAGAUAAUAAAUAACACUAAAAGACACCAGUUAGCUUCUGACCUCAAGGAGUGCUACUUUCAUCUCCUGCAAGCUUUGAAAAGGGAUCUGAUACCUGACAACAUCUUGACAAAAGCACAUCCCAUCUUCUGAUGGAAGCUGAACCAAAAUUAUUGAUGUCGCUAGUGAUUCAGGGUACUCUAGAUUGUUUGGAGUCCUAUAUAAAUACAUUUAAUAGACAAAAAAAUUGCUGCCUUAAUCUAAGCAGAAAUGACCUUAGUAGAUAGAUACUGCUUACCCCACUGAUGCAUUAGAGCUAUACUAGUUCUACUCCUAAUUCUUGAGAAGCUGUGUUUUCUCUAAUUUAUUUCCUUUUUGAUCUUCACCUAUAGUUUUGCUAGGCUUAUUUGUAACUUCUGUAUCCAUAAAUAAAUAAUCGCUGUGGCUUUAGCAUUAAAUAAUAUCUAUCUAUUUAAUAUUUUGAGUCAUCAUUUUUAUUGUGGCUAAUGAUAAUGACUGGGAAUUAACAGAAAGGUGACAGAUUUCUAAAGAUGCCUUUGAAAAAUGGCUAUUUGCCUCUGUCCUCUCACCUUUGAAAAUAAACUGUAUUUUUUAAUCUUUGUUAUCAAUGAAUAUUAUAAGAUCUGAACACUGUUAUGCUAAUAUAUAUGUGUGCAUCUAUCAUAAGAAAUAUAGAAAAUAUUUAUUACAACUAUUGGCAAGAAUGUGGAGUAACUGGAACUCUCUUACACUGCUGGUUGGAAAAUAAAAUGUUUUAAAUACUUUGAUGAAUAGUUUGGUAGUGUCUUAAAUUUUUAGAUACACAUCUACCAAAUAAUCUGUUAUUCCAUCCUUAACUAUUUGUCCAGGAG